GGUGCGGUACCCAAGUGGCAAGGGAGCAGUCUGCAAAACUGCGAUUCGCCGGUUCAAAUCCGGCCCGCACCU
rnacentral:tRNA from 1 species